rnacentral:rRNA from 1 species
UAGGGAAUCUUCCACAAUGGACGCAAGUCUGAUGGAGCAACGCCGCGUGAGUGAAGAAGGUUUUCGGACCGUAAAGUCUCUGUUGUUGGUGAAGAAGGAUAGAGGUAGUAACUGGCCUUUAUUUGACGGUAAUCAACCAGAAAGUCACGGCUAACUACGUGCCAGCAGCCGCGGUAAUACGUAGGUGGCAAGCGUUGUCCGGAUUUAUUGGGCGUAAAGCGAGCGCAGGCGGAAGAAUAAGUCUGAUGUGAAAGCCCUCGGCUUAACCGAGGAAUUGCAUCGGAAACUGUUUUCUUGAGUGCAGAAGAGGAGAGUAGAAACUCCAUGUGUAGCGGUGGAAUGCGUAGAUAUAUGGAAGAAUACCAGUGGCGAAGGCGGCUCUCUGGUCUGCAACUGACGCUGAGGCUCGAAAAGCAUGGGUAGCGAACAGGAUUAGAUACCCUGGUAGUCCAUGCCGUAAACGAUGAGUGCUAAGUGUUGGGAGGCUUCCGCCUCUCAGUGCUGCAGCUAACGCAUUAAGCACUCCGCCUGGGGGAGUACGACCGCAAG